GGGCGCUUGGCACAGGGGUAGCGCGCACGCUUCGCAUCUUCCGAUUGCGUGAGGUCGUGGGUUCAAAUCCCACAGUGUCCA
rfam:Schizophyllum commune H4-8 unplaced genomic scaffold SCHCOscaffold_7, whole genome shotgun sequence.